UCAAAUUCGCGGAUUUUCGCCCGAACUAGCACACAUAUAUGAAUUCAAGCAAUGAGUCUCGUUGGGAAAUUUUAAAAAUGCUACCAUAAAGUGAAGGACUACGUACACCCUUUUUUCUUUAGACCAUCCAGCCCACAAACUUCCCUCCAACAUAAAAGCAUAUGGUAUAUCGUAUUGAAAUAGCAGUUGGAUGGUGCCAUCAUUGUUUACUUGACUCUUGACUAUACCUUUCAAAAC